rnacentral:rRNA from 1 species
GAUUAACGCUGGCGGCGUGCCUAACACAUGCAAGUCGAACGAGGUAGCAAUACCUAGUGGCAGACGGGUGAGUAACGCGUGGUCAACCUACCGUUGAGUGGGGGAUAACUAGCCGAAAGGUUAGCUAAUACCGCAUACGUCUCCGAGGGGCAUCCCUUGGCGAUAAAAGGAGCAAUCCGCUCGAUGACGGGACCGCGUCCCAUUAGCUAGAUGGUGGGGUAACGGCCUACCAUGGCACCGAUGGGUAGCUGGUUUGAGAGAGCGACCAGCCACACUGGGGACUGAGAAACGGCCCAGACUCCUACGGGAGGCAGCAGUGAGGAAUUUUCCGCAAUGGGCGCAAGCCUGACGGAGCGACGCCGCGUGUGGGAAGAAGGCCUUCGGUCGUAACC